AUGCAUUAUAAUCUAACAAUAUUUGUCUGUUGCAGGAUCAAGGAAUUGAUAUCUCUGACAGUGUUGCUUGGGUUCAUAAGGCAGUCAAGUACAAUGAGUAAAUCCCUAGUUCACUAUGGAGAACAAAAGUCAUGUGCUGUAACUACAGCGAAAAGACUUGCGGAAUUCCUUGGAGAUUCCAUGGUUAAAGACAAAGGACUGCACUGCCAAUAUAUAGUUGCCCCAGAGUCAGAAGCCACUCUAGUGACCGCUGUUCCGGUGGCUGUUUUUGAGACAGAUACUGAAAUUGCAAAGUUCAUUUAUGAAAAUGGCGCAAAGUCUCCACGGAAGCAAAUAUCUGAUUUAUUCUUGAUUGGUCUCACUACAAGCAGCGCCUAA
rnacentral:rRNA from 1 species